AAGACCUUGCGCUUUUGGAGCGGCCGAUGUCUGAUUAGCUUGUUGGUGAGGUAAAAGCUCACCAAGGCUUCGAUCAGUAGCUGGUCUGAGAGGACGGCCAGCCACACUGGGACUGAGACACGGCCCAGACUCCUACGGGAGGCAGCAGUGGGGAAUUUUGGACAAUGGGGGCAACCCUGAUCCAGCCAUGCCGCGUGAGUGAAGAAGGCCUUCGGGUUGUAAAGCUCUUUCAGCCGGAACGAAACGGUUACGAUUAAUACCCGUGACUACUGACGGUACCGGAAGAAGAAGCACCGGCUAACUACGUGCCAGCAGCCGCGGUAAUACGUAGGGUGCAAGCGUUAAUCGGAAUUACUGGGCGUAAAGCGUGCGCAGGUGGUCUUGUAAGUCAGAUGUGAAAUCCCCGGGCUUAACCUGGGAACU
rnacentral:rRNA from 1 species